rnacentral:rRNA from 1 species
UGUCAAGUCAGUAUGUCUCUUAUGCCUAGGGCUACACACGUGUUACAAUGGUUAGUACAGAGGGUUGCUAAGCCGCAAGGUGGAGCCAAUCCCCCAAAACUAACCCCAGUUCGGAUUGGAGUCUGCAACUCGACUCCAUGAAGCAGGAAUCGCUAGUAAUCGUGGAUCAGAACGCCACGGUGAAUACGUUCCCGGGUCUU